AUUGAAAGGAGUGUAUAUAAAGGCUUAUGAGACGUCGAUUCCUGUAUAACACAUAUUUUUGUGCAAGUAUAUUCUUUGUUUUCACUUUAAUCCUCAAAACCAAUAAACAAAUCAAAAAUGGGCGCUGAAAAAGUAACCAUGAACAUCGUUGUCGUCGGACAAGUCCAAUCUGCCAAGGCCAUCAAAUCUGUCGCCAAAGCUACCUCAGCCUCCAGCCAAUUGAUGAACUGUUAAUUUAUGUAGUUCAUCCAUCGCAAACACAAAAAUGCCAUAGCCCAAACAAUACGAUAUGUUAUUCAGAUUGAUAUUGACACCAUGAAAUAAAACAGUCACUUCCGAUAUUUUUAAACUA